GAUGAACGCUGGCGGCGUGCCUAAUACAUGCAAGUCGAGCGAACAGACGAGGAGCUUGCUCCUCUGACGUUAGCGGCGGACGGGUGAGUAACACGUGGAUAACCUACCUAUAAGACUGGGAUAACUUCGGGAAACCGGAGCUAAUACCGGAUAAUAUAUUGAACCGCAUGGUUCAAUAGUGAAAGACGGUUUUGCUGUCACUUAUAGAUGGAUCCGCGCCGCAUUAGCUAGUUGGUAAGGUAACGGCUUACCAAGGCAACGAUGCGUAGCCGACCUGAGAGGGUGAUCGGCCACACGGGAACGUGAACCCGGCCCAGCCUCCUACGGGGGGGAGGAGGAGGGAAUUUUCAGCAAUGGGCGAAAGCUUGACGGAGCAACGCCGGGGGAGGGAUGAAGGUUUUCGGAUCGUAAACCUUUUUUAUUAGGGAAGAAAAAAUGUUUAAGUAACUUUGCACGUUUUGACGGUACCUAAUCAAAAAGCCACGGCUAACUACGU
rnacentral:rRNA from 1 species